rnacentral:rRNA from 1 species
UACGGGGGGGGGCAAGCGUUGUUCGGAAUUACUGGGCGUAAAGGGCUCGUAGGUGGCCAACUAAGUCAGACGUGAAAUCCCUCGGCUUAACCGGGGAACUGCGUCUGAUACUGGAUGGCUUGAGUUUGGGAGAGGGACGCGGAAUUCCAGGUGUAGCGGUGAAAUGCGUAGAUAUCUGGAGGAACACCGGUGGCGAAGGCGGCAUCCUGGACCGGUAUUGACACUGAGGAGCGAAAGCCAGGGGAGCAAACGGG